GACGAACGCUGGCGGCGUGCUUAACACAUGCAAGUCGAACGGAAAGGCACUGCGUUUGUGCUGUGCCCGAGUGGCGAUCGGGUGCGUAACACGUGAGUAACCUGCCCUACUUUUUCGGAUAACUUCAGGAAACUGGGGCUAAUCUCGUAUAGGAGCUCACGUUGCAUGGUGGGGGUUGGAAAGUUUCGGCGGGUGGGGCUGGACUCGCGGCUUAUCAGCUUGUUGGUGGGGUAGUGGUUUACCAAGGCUUUGGAUGAUACCCGGCCUGGGAGGGGGACCGGCCACAAGAGUACUACGAGAGGGACCAGUCGCGUACGGGAGACAGCGGGGGGGAGUAUGGCACAAUGGUAGGAAGCCUGUGGCAGCAACGCCGCGGGCGUAAUGACGUCCUGCGGGGAGAGAACCGCUGUCGCCUGUGACGAAGCGUGAGUGACGGUAAUCGGUGAAGAAGCACCGGCUAACUACGUG
rnacentral:rRNA from 1 species